rnacentral:rRNA from 1 species
AUGCUGAAAGGAAGCAACGUUCAUGCAAUAUCCUCUAUUACAUUACAAAGAAAAUGGAAACAUAAAUUUCUGCAUGACAUGGGCGGAAAGGAAGCAACAUCCAUGCAACAGCCCUUAUUAGAUUACAAAGAAAACGGAAACAUAUACUUGUGCAUAACAUGUGAACUGCAGUGCCGAACCAUUCACGACUUUAUUUUUCUGGCCUUUUCAUCUAGUAGCUCCCUAUUCCCCAAGAGCGAACACGACCGCAUCAUGAGUGUCAGACAGACCGGUGUCGGCCUUGAUGGUAACCUUAUCAGCAGAAGAGUCAUCCACACAGACCUCGACCAAAGACAUGUCCUCGAUCUUGACCCCGGUGACCUUCUUCAUCUUGCCCUUUUCCACAAAAGCGGUCACCUCAGUGUCGUAGGAGACGGUCUGGUUGAGCUUGUUGAACGUGUGCUCUUUCUUCUUCUUCUGAAGUAUCCACACAAACCCACUCUCACAGUUGUGCCCGACCUCCUCGAUGUCAUCCAUAGGAAAGAGGCCUUUCCGGAGGCCAAGCACUUCGAGAAUCUUGAUGGUCUUCUUCUUGCAGAUAUCGUUCCCCUUGUGGACCUCGGCGCCGGCACGGUGGCUCUCAACCAGCUGGGACGCCAUUUGAGCACCUUCUUAGCUGGUGCUUGUUUGCUUUGGAGUGGUUUUCUAGGUUUGUGA